CAUUUAGUAAAUUAAGAUUCGUUGGGAACAAAAAAGUAAGUAGACAACGACAUAAUGGACAUUUACAUUGUUGAAAAGUGGAUCCAUGUUGCUAGACUAGCAUAAUGCAACUUUUUAGGGAAGAAUAAAAAAAGAAUCUGAAUUAUCUUAUAGAAUGAUUAUAAUUCAGAAUGAGCAAGGAUCAUAAUCAACUUUGAAUUCAUAU
rnacentral:lncRNA from 1 species